rnacentral:rRNA from 1 species
AGGACAAACGCUGGCGGCGUGCUUAACACAUGCAAGUCGAACGGGCAUUCUUCGGAAUGCUAGUGGCGGACGGGUGAGUAACACGUAGUCAACCUACCCAACAGUGGGGAAUAACCCCUCGAAAGAGGAGCCAAUACCGCAUACGCUCUCAGUCGUUGGACGGAGAGGAAACCUUAGUAGUGAAAUACUUGGGACUGAUGGAUGGGACUGCGGCGGAUUAGGCUAAGAUGGUGGGGUAACGGCCUACAUGGCGACGAUCCGUAGCGUGGUCUGAGAGGACGACCAGCCACACUGGGACUGAGACACGGCCCAGACUCCGUGGCGGGAG